GGGGCGGUGGCGGAAUUGGCAGACGCAGGGGACUUAAAAUCCCCCGGUAUAUCCGUGUGGGUUCGAGUCCCACCCGCCCUA
rnacentral:tRNA from 1 species